AUUGAACGCUGGCGGAAUGCUUUACACAUGCAAGUCGAACGGCAGCACGGGGCAACCUGGUGGCGAGUGGCGAACGGGUGAGUAAUACAUCGGAACGUGCCCAAUCGUGGGGGAUAACGUAGCGAAAGUUACGCUAAUACCGCAUACGAUCUACGGAUGAAAGCGGGGGAUCGCAAGACCUCGCGCGAAUGGAGCGGCCGAUGUCAGAUUAGGUAGUUGGUGGGGUAAAGGCUCACCAAGCCGACGAUCUGUAGCUGGUCUGAGAGGACGACCAGCCACACUGGGACUGAGACACGGCCCAGACUCCUACGGGAGGCAGCAGUGGGGAAUUUUGGACAAUGGGCGAAAGCCUGAUCCAGCCAUUCCGCGUGCAGGAUGAAGGCCUUCGGGUUGUAAACUGCUUUGUUACGGAACGAAACGGACGUCUUUCUAAUACAGGGGCGUAAGUGACGGUACCGUAAGAAUAAGCACCGGCUAACUACGUGCCAGCAGCCGCGGUAAACGUAGCGUG
rnacentral:rRNA from 1 species